rnacentral:rRNA from 1 species
UACGGAGGGGGCUAGCGUUGUUCGGAAUUACUGGGCGUAAAGCGUACGUAGGCGGCUUUGUAAGUUAGCGGUGAAAUCCUGGAGCUCAACUCCAGAAUUGCCGUUAAGACUGCAUCGCUUGAAUCCAGGAGAGGUGAGUGGAAUUCCGAGUGUAGAGGUGAAAUUCGUAGAUAUUCGGAAGAACACCAGUGGCGAAGGCGGCUCGCUGGACUGGUAUUGACGCUGAGGUGCGAAAGCGUGGGGAGCAAACAGG